CCUACGGGUGGCAGCAGUGAGGAAUAUUGGUCAAUGGGCGCUAGCCUGAACCAGCCAAGUAGCGUGAAGGAAGACUGCCCUAUGGGUUGUAAACUUCUUUUAUGUGGGAAUAAAGUGCAGUAUGUAUACUGCUUUGCAUGUACCUUAUGAAUUAGGAUCGGCUAACUCCGUGCCAGCAGCCGCGGUAAUACGGAGGAUCCGAGCGUUAUCCGGAUUUAUUGGGUUUAAAGGGAGCGUAGGCGGGUGGUUAAGUCAGUUGUGAAAGUUUGCGGCUCAACCGUAAAAUUGCAGUUGAUACUGGCAGCCUUGAGUACAGUAGAGGUAGGCGGAAUUCGUGGUGUAGCGGUGAAAUGCUUAGAUAUCACGAAGAACUCCGAUUGCGAAGGCAGCCUGCUGGACUGUAACUGACGCUGAUGCUCGAAAGUGUGGGUAUCAAACAGGAUUAGAUACCCGGGUAGUC
rnacentral:rRNA from 1 species